AUUGAACGCUGGCGGCAUGCCUUACACAUGCAAGUCGAACGGCAGCACGGGAGCUUGCUCCUGGUGGCGAGUGGCGAACGGGUGAGUAAUACAUCGGAACGUACCCUGAAGUGGGGGAUAACGUAGCGAAAGUUACGCUAAUACCGCAUAUUCUGUGAGCAGGGAAGAGGGGGAUCGCAAGACCUCUUGCUUUAGGAGCGGCCGAUAUCGGAUUAGCUAGUUGGUGAGGUAAAGGCUCACCAAGGCGACGAUCCGUAGCGGGUCUGAGAGGAUGAUCCGCCACACUGGGACUGAGACACGGCCCAGACUCCUACGGGAGGCAGCAGUGGGGAAUUUUGGACAAUGGGCGCAAGCCUGAUCCAGCCAUGCCGCGUGAGUGAAGAAGGCCUUGGUG
rnacentral:rRNA from 1 species